UGGGGGAUAUUGCACAAUGGGCGAAAGCCUGAUGCAGCGACGCCGCGUGGGGGAUGAAGGCUUUCGGGUUGUAAACCUCUUUCGCUAUCGAACAAGGCCCGCUUAGGGUGGGUUGAGGGUAGGUGGAGAAGAAGCGCCGGCUAACUACGUGCCAGCAGCCGCGGUAAUACGUAGGGCGCGAGCGUUGUCCGGAAUUAUUGGGCGUAAAGGGCUUGUAGGCGGCUUGUUGCGCCUGCUGUGAAAACGCGGGGCUUAACUUCGCGCGUGCAGUGGGUACGGGCAUGCUUGAGUGUGGUAGGGGUGACUGGAAUUCCAGGUGUAGCGGUGGCAUGCGCAGAUAUCUGGAGGAACACCGUUGGCGAAGGCAGGUCACUGGGCCAUUACUGACGCUGAGGAGCGAAAGCAUGGGUAGCGAACAGG
rnacentral:rRNA from 1 species